CACACCCGGGCUAACUCCUUCCCUCACACGCCUACUAUCCACUUUCGCCUGAGACCGCAGCCAGCGCAGGGCUCAGUUUUUUAUUUGAUUUUUUAUUUGCCUUGCUUGCUUUGGGUCUUUCCCUCUUGUACAGCGAGACCAUUUCGUCCCAUUUCACCCCUCUGCCCCUGAAAACAUAGGCCCUGGAUUGUCCCUGCAUCAGACUGCAUGCUACCAAUUGAUUUGUGCAUCUACUCCUCCCUAUUAUUUUAGCACUUUAUAUUAAAAAUUGCUCUCUAGCUUUAACGUAAAAUUCGGUUCAUUUUGAGUAAUUUCUUCACAUACCCAUUCUGGAAGAGAGGACGAAGAAAAGAAGAGAACGCUCACGGAAUGGACAGAUGAAAGGGGACAGCAGAAAAAAGAGUGAGAAAAUGGAGAGCAUGUUCUGUGGGAGAGCAAGAGAGACCUGACCUAUGCACCCGACAUUGCCAAUCCCAUUCCAUGUAGCCCAAGACCUGAAAAGAAUGCUGUGGUCUACUCUUGUCUUGAGUCCGUGGAAACUUCCCACUAAGGAGUAACAAUGGAAAGAAUUUCAGUCCAGCCUAAGUAAGGUAACAUCUCUGGCAAGUUUGGAGGUUUAGAGAUGAGCCAUUAUGAGGUGGAGCCAUUCACCAACCCAACACACAACACAAUUAUAUGGUAUCCAAACUAGUGGCAGAUUGACUCUUUCUUUCAGGGAUCGUCAUAAAUAUUUAUUCCUGUAGGAGUGACGCACUGAGAAGCCAGGUGGCUGUAUCGACUCCGACAGCAUAUCCCAAGAGAGCCAUGUUUCCGUGAAACGGAGUAUGUUACAAUAUCUUAUGUCUCUCUGGAAAGCAAACCUUGCCCUGAUUUUGUCGACCUUGUUAUCUAGGGACUGGACAUUAGCGAGUAAUAUAUUCGGGAGCAGUGGGUUGUGUGCACGCCUCUGAAGUUUGACCAGAAGACCGCUCCGUCUUCCUCUUGUCUGGCGGCAUUGUUUUGGGUUGGCCUCUGGAAUUAGUUAAAAUGCCCUGGGUGGUGCGGACAAAGGAUCCCCUUCAGGAAAGUUGUAUUCCUGGUCGUUGUGCUGGUAAGUUGACGUCACUCUGAUAUCCUAUAGUUCUUGAAGAAAAAGAAACGCACACCUAUUAAGACGAGGUAGAAAACUUGAAAAUAAAAGAGAGCCGCACACUAGGAGCUCAGAUGCCAAAUUUGAUUUCCAACGUUUCGACAGCCAAGCUGUCUUCAUCAGGGUAUAAUCACAAACACUGCGGGAUGACUCGUUUAUAUAGUGUCAAAAGACACAAGUGUCUGUAAUCAUGGCCAAGAGUGGCCUAAUAUCAUUGGUUAAUAAUCAAAUAUUAAAAUGUCAUACAAAGAACAGCAUACAAACAACAAAUGGAUAGCAUACGAUCAUAGAUUAAUUUGACUACACAAGCUUACAAACAAUUACAAUGGCAAAGUCACAAUAAUCACAAGAAUGGCUUCAGAUUAAAGUCUACGUUGAGACCGAACAAGGGAAGGAGGGGGAACAAGGGUCUUUAAGUUAAAGAUCCAGGCAACCUCUCGUUUUAACAAUAAAUUAUCAAGGUCACGCCCUCUCCUAGGGAGGGUGACAUGUUCGAUGCCAAUAUAAUGCAGAGACGAAAUAGAGUGGUCUGCCUCCAAGAAGUGGGCCGCAACUGGGUAAGUAAAGUUUUUACACCUAAUGGUGCUAUGAUGCUCUGAGAUACGUACUUUUAAUUUGCGCUUUGUUUUACCUAUAUAAUUUUUACCAUAGUUCUUCCCAGCUCUAUGUAAUAACACUUAAGAUUUUCUGGGCUAACAAUGUAAGAAAAAACUAAAUGCUGCAAAGUUUCCCAAGGACUAGAAGCAAGACAGCCCUCUCUGUCUUUUCUGCACGAAGGUGCAAGGUGUACGAUCGCCCAUCCCCAUGAGCGUGUCACGCUGUAGAAACAUCUCAAGGAUGAUCAAUGGAAACAGUAUGCACCUGGGCUCAAUUUCGAGUUAUGUUGAGUCAAUUUCGAGUUAUGUUGGCUGACAAUUUGUUAGCUAUGCUGUCAUUACGAACCACAUAGCAUAUCGUUACAGCAGAAUCCCAGCUAGCAAUGAGGAAUCGGCCCAGAAGCGGCCCUCUUCUGGGAGGCCGGAACUGAUUGAAUUCGCCCAGAAUUAGGGUGUCGGACUCGGCCCGGAAUCAAAAUGAAUGACUGCCCAGAAUCAGCCCAAGUACAUCGGGCCGUUUCCUCUACCCAAAUUCAGCUAACAUCUUACCAGAAUCUCCCCAGAAGCUGUCCGAUGCAAAUUUAAAUAAAUGUAUACAAAAUUACCCAAUUUAGUCAUUUUAAAUACUACUAUUAUACAUACAAAGUAUACCCAUCCACAAAAACUGAGGAAACACCAUACACCCGGUGACCGUGUCAGCGGGCAUGCGCCUGGCCCGCAGGACCUCCCCUAACUCAGACGAUGCUGUGUCAAUUGUGCAUCGCCUCAUGGGUCUCCUGGUUGUGGCAAGCACGGGACUCGAGACAGCAUCUGUAGCAACGCAGUUUGUACUGCGAUGCAGUGUCUUAGACUGCUGUGCUACUCGGGAGUGUAAUGAACACAAAGGGAGACAGAGAGCUGGUUUCAAGCGCAGGGCGCAGCAGGUGUUUAUUGGUAAAGGACCACAUGAGGAGGCAGGUAGCUGGGUCCAGGGGCAGGCAGAAGGUCAUACACAGGGGGUCCAAAAAGGCAAUAGUACAGGCAUGGAAAAGGCUUGUAACGUCAUCCGGGAGAUCAGGCAAUAGGUUGAUAACAGGAAAUCCGAUAGGCUAAAGUACAGGCAGGGAAUAGGCAAAAGGCAUUGUUAGUGAGGCAGGCAGAAACUAUCAUACACAGGAGGAGUAAAUCACGGGAAAAACAGAGCUCCGAAUAGAAGUGUGUCACAAAACAAACAAUACCUCACAAUGACGGGGAUGCAAAGAACUGAACUAUAUAAUGUGUGAUAAUGACAUACAAGUGUGUGAACAGGUAAUCAAAAUUCAGGUGAUUAGGAUCUGGAGAGUGAGCUGCGUUCAGGGGAUCUAUGUGCUUGAGAGUGUGAGCUGGAAAGUGGACUGGAAAGUGAGCUGUGUCCAGGGGAUCUACGUGUUUGAGAGUGAGUUGAAAGCAGAUGUUACAGGGAGGCUCCAUCCACAAAGUUUUUAAUGCUUAUCAAUUGCCUUGCACAAAGUAUAAAAAUUCUAAAAUACUACACAGGACUCUUAAAGAAUUUCAUUUAAAUGUUAAUUGUAUUUUUUGAUCACAGAAACAAUUAGAAAACAUGGAAAAAUAAAUAAUGAAAUGUUAAUUAUUUAAAGCAGCCCUCAUCUGCCAGAGAGUGGUCCCAAUCCGCCGAGCCCCAAGAAAUACAUUUGGGCCAAGUAAACUCUCACCGGAAUUCGCUCUGACUAUCUACAGUACUCUGAUUUCAGAGCACUCUCCUCUGAGUGUAAUGAAUUUAUGAGCGCUCAACCCCCAUUGAAUAUGACUGGUGUCAGUAAACUUCAGCAAAAGAGCGUAAUUUACAGUCACAGUUACAGUCACCAACGCUCUGGAAAACUGCCUAACCAGCUCUGCUAGGGCGAGUAAAAUGGUCAGAGUGGUCUCAUUUGUGUCUGGAAGUAGCUAGCAAGCUAGCCAACGUUAGCUUGGGUGUUUGACUGCCAUAAGAUCAGAAAGCCAAAGGCUGGAGUGUCCAGUGUGCGCUCCGAGAGCGAAAGUUCUGAAUUUACAAACAGACAAUCUGACUACGCUCUGAAUUUACAAGUGCACUCUGGCACUCCAGAUUGAAUUUAAGAACACACCCAAAGUUGUAAAAUGUUUAGCUAGUCAUUUGUUAUGCUAACUAGCGAGCAAGAGGUUGCAUAGCAACAGCAUCAACUUCCGGUAGACAAGUGAAGAGACAGUAUGCUCAACUGAAAGCAUACUGUUCGUUUACAGUAUACUAAAAUUAACUAUGUAGUAUAUACUCAUUAAGUGUGCAGUAUACGUAUGUUAGUAUGGGUAUUCGCACGCAGCUCUGGUUAACUCUGCCAGGAGGCUGAAACUUGGCUGCAAGUGGCUCUUCCAGCAAGACACUAACCCCAAGAACACAUCAUAAUCUACAAAUAAAUGAUUAAUUGACCACAAAACCAAUAUUUUGCAAUGGCCAUCUCAGUCUCUUGACUUGAACCCCAUUGAAAACCUGUGGUUUGAAUUGAAGAGGGCAGUCCAUAAACACAGACAAAGGAUAUCAAGGAUCUGGAAAGAUUCUGAAUGGAGGAAUGGUCUAAGAUCCCUCCCGAUGUGUUCUCCAAUCUCAUAAAACAUUUUAGAAAAAGGCUCAGUGUCAUUAUCCUCGCAAGGUGAGGUAUUGAAAACAGGGAUGACAAUAAUUUUGACCCCUAUCUUUAAAAAAAUAAAUAUAUUACUUGUUAAACUAAAUGUAUUUCUCUGAACAAUAAAACAACAUCAUUUUCAAAUGUUUUUGAGCAUACAAUAGCUCAGUAUUUCGAGCUAGCAGUAUAUCGCUGCAGCUGUACAUAGUCUAUCGGUAAAUAGCCCACCCAAUUUUACCUACCUCAUCCCCAUACUGUUUACAUUUAUUUACUUUUCUGCUCUUUUGCACACCAAUAUGUCUACAAUGUACAUGACCAUCUGAUCAUUUAUCACUCCAGUAUUAAUCUGCAAAAUUGUAAUUAUUUGCCUACCUCCUCAUGCCUUUUGCACACAAUGUAUAUAGACUCUCUUUUUUUUCCUGUGUUACUGACUUGUUAAUUGUUUACUCCAUGUGUAACUCUGUGUUGUCUGUUCAGACUGCUAUGCUUUAUCUUGGCCAGGUCGCAGUUGCAAAUGAGAACUUGUUCUCAACUAGCCUACCUGGUUAAAUAAAGGUGAAAUAAAAUAAAAUAAAAUAAAUACAAAUAUUA
ensembl:lncRNA